rnacentral:lncRNA from 1 species
UUUACAUGUUACAAAAUUCGAAAAAGUUCAAAAAAGAUUAACAACUUUAAAAAACUAAGCUUUUUUCCCACAUUUGUCUUCCCAGACCCUAAAUUCCUCUUCAGAGACAAGUAUUAUGAACAUUUCUUGCAGUCUUCUAGACCCAUCUGUGUGCAAACGUGUGCUCACACAUUGUAUGUGAUUCCAUUACUAAUGUCUGAUGUGGGCCCACUGUUUAAAAUUCCCGUUGUAUUUCACAGCCAUCUAUCCAUGUCAAUGAAUACAAAUUCACAUUUAAAGCUGCAAAUAUAUGCCGGGAGACUAAUACCCGAGGAAGGAGGGAACUGAAGGAAUUUCCCCAUGUGUCUCCUUAGUACUAACAAUAGUAGGCUCAGAGGAAGCUCACGUCUUGUGAGUAGAUGCACACAAACGCACACACACAUGCACUCACAUACACAGUUGCAUAGCUUCGAGGUCUCCGUAGCCUCAAAGGUUUGGUUCAGGUUGGUCUCAAAUACAGCCCAGUUUCCCUCUUCGAGUACAGAUACAUAAUUUUUGGAGAGCAACAUCUCUUACUAUUGCUUCCAGUGAAAAACACAUUUAAUGCACUUUGUAUAUUUUGUAAGCUUUAUUCAAACGUGCUAUUUGUGUAGCCGUUCUGUUGUUUCUUUUUCCUUUUCUAGUCCUUGAACCACUGUAAAGUGAGUCUCCAAUAAAUAAAAUUACAUCAAUAACAAAAUCUGAUCUUUAGAAAUUAUGAAGCUUUCCAAAGCUGACUUCAUGUUUAUUUCUUGUUGGUAUUACCGUGCCAUAUAACAACAAAUUAUUACCUAAAGCCAUAAAUUUCUCACAUGAGCUAACUGAUGUAAAUUAUUAAUAGUGCUAAAAGCAGGACAUUCAUUUUACAAGCUCUACUAAGGUUUAAUAGUGGCAAUUGCCAUUAUUUAAUUUACUAAAUAAUGCAUUUAUCUAAGAUAUUUAUAGGUACACUGUCUUGAUAAUAUGUAUUAUUUUAGUGAUUAAGUUUUCCUGUCAUUUCCAAAAAUAUAAGGCUUAUAUAAUUCUUUUGAUACUCAAGUAAAUAAUAUACUCAAAGAUUCUCUGUGUGUGUGCGUGUCUAUGUGUAUGCGUGAGGGAUGAUAUUCUCCAGUACUGAAUACCAGCACCUCAUUUGUGGAGGGAAACUGACAUUCCUUUGCUCCAGUAAAUUAAUAUUCCAAAAGUGAAUGCAUCUUAACUCAAAAUAGUGUACCUGGCUCAAGGGACUAAUUUAGUAAUACCAACAAGCUCAUUUUAAAUGAAAUCUGACAAGGAGAGAAAAAACGUGGAAGAGAAAGGAAGAACCAUUUGUGAAUUUAUUAGUGAG